UACGUAGGGUGCAAGCGUUAAUCGGAAUUACUGGGCGUAAAGCGUGCGCAGGCGGUUGGGUAAGACAGAUGUGAAAUCCCCGGGCUUAACCUGGGAACUGCAUUUGUGACUGUCCGACUGGAGUACGUCAGAGGGGGGUGGAAUUCCGCGUGUAGCAGUGAAAUGCGUAGAUAUGCGGAAGAACACCGAUGGCGAAGGCAGCCCCCUGGGACGCAACUGACGCUCAUGCACGAAAGCGUGGGGAGCAAACAGG
rnacentral:rRNA from 1 species